rnacentral:rRNA from 1 species
CGGGCUCCCUUCCCCCUCGCCAGGUCGAGGCGGACAGAAGGGGAGCUUGCUCCCGGAUGUUAGCGGCGGACGGGUGAGUAACACGUGGGUAACCUGCCUGUAAGACUGGGAUAACUCCGGGAAACCGGAGCUAAUACCGGAUAGUUCCUUGAACCGCAUGGUUCAAGGAUGAAAGACGGUUUCGGCUGUCACUUACAGAUGGACCCGCGGCGCAUUAGCUAGUUGGUGGGGUAAUGGCUCACCAAGGCAACGAUGCGUAGCCGACCUGAGAGGGUGAUCGGCCACACUGGGACUGAGACACGGCCCAGACUCCUACGGGAGGCAGCAGUAGGGAAUCUUCCGCAAUGGACGAAAGUCUGACGGAGCAACGCCGCGUGAGUGAUGAAGGUUUUCGGAUCGUAAAGCUCUGUUGUUAGGGAAGAACAAGUGCGAGAGUAACUGCUCGCACCUUGACGGUACCUAACCAGAAAGCCACGGCUAACUACGUGCCAGCAGCCGCGGUAAUACGUAGGUGGCAAGCGUUGUCCGGAAUUAUUGGGCGUAAAGGGCUCGCAGGCGGUUUCUUAAGUCUGAUGUGAAAGCCCCCGGCUCAACCGGGGAGGGUCAUUGGAAACUGGGAAACUUGAGUGCAGAAGAGGAGAGUGGAAUUCCACGUGUAGCGGUGAAAUGCGUAGAGAUGUGGAGGAACACCAGUGGCGAAGGCGACUCUCUGGUCUGUAACUGACGCUGAGGAGCGAAAGCGUGGGGAGCGAACAGGAUUAGAUACCCUGGUAGUCCACGCCGUAAACGAUGAGUGCUAAGUGUUAGGGGGUUUCCGCCCCUUAGUGCUGCAGCUAACGCAUUAAGCACUCCGCCUGGGGGAGUACGGUCGCAAGACUGAAACUCAAAGGAAUUGACGGGGGCCCGCACAAGCGGUGGAGCAUGUGGUUUUAUUUCGAAGCAACGCCGUGACGCGUGACGUGGCUCCCCCCCCGCACUAUGCUGUAAAAGAUAGGGCUUUUUCCCUUCCGGGGACAGAAGUGACAGGUGGUGCAUGGUUGUCGUCAGCCUCCGUGUUCGUGAGAUGUUGGGUUAAAGUCCCCGCCAACGGAGCCGCCAACCCCUUGAAUCCUUAGGUUGGCCCAGCCAUUUAGCUGGGCCACCUCUCUAAGGGUGACCUGCCGGGACCAAAUCGGGAGAAGGUGGGAUUGGUCCAAUUCCACUCACAGUGUCCUCCCUCCCU